UAUAAGGUUCCAGAUGACUUGCUGUUGUGUCCAGUUUCCAAGCCACAAAAUGAAAAACUGAAGGGACAGGAGGAGCACAACCCUUUCCUUAAGGGCUUGCCCUGGCAUGUUAACAAUCUGGAAAUUAAAUCAAGGUUCUGCUUAUACAGUACCCAUAAGAGGCACAAGAAUAUCUUUUAAAAUAUCAGGAGGCACUUAUCUUCAAGACUGUACAUGAAGGAGUAAUCCACCUAGAAAAACCAGGCUUCAGUGGCCAGGUUCAGCAUUCCAUGUCAGUGGUGAUCAUUUUACUGAGAAGGAAGCCAUGGGAUGGGCAGGUUCUUCUAAAGGUGAAUGGCUAUACAAGCUGUGAUACAACCAAACCACAGAAUGCCACUUAGAAAUAUAAAGGAACAGACUACUGAUACAUAAAACAACUUGGAUGAACCUCAGAGCAAUUAUCCUCAGUGGAAAAAGCCAACCUACAAUGAUUACCUAGUGAAUGAUUUCAUUUACGUAACAUUCUCGAAAUGCCAAGACCAUAGAAAUGGAAAACAGAAAAAUCAAGCUUUGUCUGAAGACCAAGUUUAUUCCAAGGAGGGAUCAAUUUCCAUCUUUUUAAGGGUAUGAAAGGGGUUUAAAAUUACAUUAAAUAUUGCUCAAGUAGUUGA
rnacentral:lncRNA from 1 species